AAGGCAUCUUUUUAUUUUUAAAAGACCUUUUUCGGAAGGUAUGCUUAAAGAGGGGCUUGCGUCACAUUAGUUAGUUGGCAGGGUAAAGGCCUACCAAGACUAUGAUGUGUAGCUGGACUGAGAGGUUGAACAGCCACAUUGGGACUGAGACACGGCCCAAACUCCUACGGGAGGCAGCAGUAGGGAAUUUUCGGCAAUGGAGGAAACUCUGACCGAGCAACGCCGCGUGAACGAUGAAGUAUUUCGGUAUGUAAAGUUCUUUUAUUGAAGAAGAAAAAAUAGUGGAAAAACUAUCUUGACGAUAUUCAAUGAAUAAGCCCCGGCAAACUAUGUGCCAGCAGCCGCGGUAAUACAUAGGGGGCGAGCGUUAUCCGGAAUUAUUGGGCGUAAAGGGUGCGUAGGCGGUUUAAUAAGUCUAUAGUUUAAUUUCAGUGCUUAACACUGUCCUGCUAUAGAAACUAUUAGACUAGAGUGAGAUAGAGGCAAGUGGAAUUCCAUGUGUAGCGGUAAAAUGCGUAAAUAUAUGGAGGAACACCAGAGGCGUAGGCGGCUUGCUGGGUCUUUACUGACGCUGAGGCACGAAAGCGUGGGGAGCAAACAGGAUUAGAUACCCUGGUAGUCCACGCCGUAAACGAUGAGUACUAAGUGUCGGGAUUACUCGGUACUGAAGUUAACACAUUAAGUACUCCGCCUGAGUAGUACGUACGCAAGUAUGAAACUUAAAGGAAUUGACGGGACUCCGCACAAGCGGUGGAUCAUGUUGUUUAAUUCGAAGAUACACGAAAAACCUUACCAGGUCUUGACAUACUCUGCAAAGCUAUAGCAAUAUAGUGGAGGUUAUCAGGGAUACAGGUGGUGCAUGGUUGUCGUCAGCUCGUGUCGUGAGAUGUUAGGUUAAGUCCUAAAACGAGCGCAACCCUUGUCAUUAGUUGCCAGCAUGUCAUGAUGGGCACUUUAAUGAGACUGCCAAUGAAAAAUUGGAGGAAGGUGAGGAUCACGUCAAAUCAUCAUGCCCCUUAUGAUCUGGGCUACAAACGUGAUACAAUGGCUGUUACAAAGAGUAGCUGAAACGCAAGUUUAUAGCCAAUCUCAUAAAAGCAGUCUCAGUUCGGAUUGAAGUCUGCAACUCGACUUCAUGAAGUUGGAAUCGCUAGUAAUCGCGAAUCAGCAUGUCGCGGUGAAUACGUUCUCGGGGUUUGUACACACCGCCCGUCAAACCACGAAAGUUGGUAAUACUCAAAAACGGUAGCCUAACUUCUUCGGAAGAG
rnacentral:rRNA from 1 species